AUUGAACGCUGGCGGCAGGCCUAACACAUGCAAGUCGAACGGUAACAGGGAUCAGCUUGCUGAUUCGCUGACGAGUGGCGGACGGGUGAGUAAUGUCUGGGAAACUGCCUGAUGGAGGGGGAUAACUACUGGAAACGGUAGCUAAUACCGCCUAACGUCGCAAGACCAAAGAGGGGGACCUUCGGGCCUCUUGCCAUCGGAUGUGCCCAGAUGGGAUUAGCUAGUAGGUGGGGUAACGGCUCACCUAGGCGACGAUCCCUAGCUGGUCUGAGAGGAUGACCGGCCACACUGGAACUGAGACACGGUCCAGACUCCUACGGGAGGCAGCAGUGGGGAAUAUGGCACAAAGGGCGCAAGCCUGAUGCAGCCAUGCCGCGUGUGUGAAGAAGGCCUUCGGGUUGUAAAGAACUUUCAGCGGGGAGGAAGGGAGUAAAGUUAAUACCUUUGCUCAUUGACGUUACCCGCAGAAGAAGCACCGGCUAACUCCGUG
rnacentral:rRNA from 1 species